GAAUAUAACGUGUAUUAUAUUUUAAGUCUUGUAUCUUAGGUCUUAUCAGUAAUUAUUCAAUUCUCUGAGUCCAUUAAAUAUGUAUUAUUUUCCAAUUUUAAGUUUUAGAGUGAAAAUAAUCCGAAAGUCAUCAUUCUUAAGAGGCAUUCGAAAUAGCGUAUCUCGGCAGAGUAUUAUAUUCUAUGAUGCAUAAUGUAUAGAAUACAUAUAUGUAAACCGCCAUACAUUAAGUUGCAGUAGUGUGUUGUGGCGUAGAACACAUAUACUUGAACUUGAUAUUAUCAAGUUCAAGACCUCAUGUUAUAAUUCAAAGUUGGCAAUUAAUUGCAAUCGUAGUAUCGUUAUUAGAGAGCCAUGUCUCAAGCAAUUUACGUAAGUACUGCGGUUGGGGUUGGAGUUGUUGGCGGAUUAUUUCUAUCAUAUCAUAUAUU